ensembl:lncRNA
CGCCAUUGCUCCACUUACCUUUUCCGGCCAGUUCCUCGUCCGGGAGAGUUUUGCGGACGGUUUACAGGGGAUUAUUGUGGUCUUGACGUUUUUCAUCCUUUGUCACGACUCUGAUUCACAUAGACAGUGACGCACGGAGAGCCUGGAGAGGAGACGCACCGCAUCGUGUCCACGCUCGCCUUGGGUUUGGCGGGUGCAUUGCGGAUUGAGAGCUGCUGCAGCCUGCCAGGAUUCUCCUCCAGGCCUCUGGGACUCCCCCACUGACUGAGAUGCCAAUUUGCAGAAGACUGCAGAUGCCAUUCUGGGCUCCCCAUCUUUCAUGUAAUACCUGUGUAUUUGGAAGAAUCAGGAGAUCGGGAGGCAAGAAGAACCCAAGGCAGAAGCUGAUGGUGCCCACACAUCUCUCCUCUGCUCACCUGAAGUCACCUGUGCAGCUCAAUGGGAAGUUCCCAUGCCGGGGGAUGGCUAAGCCCAUCAAGCAUCACAUUUUCCUCUGCCUCAUGCUGGGAGCACACUACUCUGUGGGGAGGCCAGUAGUGUCCUGGAGUUAAAGCCCAGGAGCAAACUUCAGGUCAGUAAGACAGGAUUGGAUGAAUCAAAACCUCGGCUCCCUAAUGCCUGAAGUCUUACUCUUGGCUGCGCCACUAUCCAUUGUCAGCUUCGCUGGAAUGCUUUAUGCUCUUUGAUAAACACAGGUUUAUUCCCAGCUUUGUUUUCGGAUGCUUACCUGUUUGGGCAGUGAGGUCUAACUUCGGAUUGAACUUUCUCAUGCUCAAUCUCAGGCUAGCUAUGAGGGUAUUUGUGACGUUUGAGUAAAAGUCUGCCGCUCAUUUUUAGUUCAGCAUGAUGAAAAAGUGUAUGUUGGAAAACUGAAAUUGUUCAUUUUGUGGUAAAUGGUUAAUUCCAAGAAAAAAAAACACCUGAGUGUUUCUCAGGUGACUGAGGUCCCCGUGGGCCGGAGCACCAGUCACCCAUGGUGCCAACCCUCACUGACACACCCGCAUUGGCUUUCCCUCCACCCAUCCCACUGGCCCAUUUGGUCACCACGCAUCCUGAGAUUGCUUCCUGAAUCAACUACCUGUACACAGUUCCUCAUUCAAUAGGUGUUUUGGAAGGAACUUAAACCACAACAGCAUGUCUUCUCAAACAAUGGCAACCCAUUCAUUCCCACCAUACCACCCACUGCCCUACGUCACAUCCUCACAAGUCCCUGCAGAGAAACAUCUGUGUCAGACACGCUCUUGCUCGCCCCCUGCCUCCCCUCACUGCCCCCUGAUGUCCGUCUGGACCCAUUUCAACAUCUUUCGUCCCAGUCUUGGCCUUCCUAGAAGAACCUUUCCUGGCCUUUCUGCCUGCCUACGACUUUAAGACCCAUGACGCCGGUCCUUGAUGUAUCUAGCAAAGUGAUUUGCCAACAUUGUAAGUUCAUGUCUGCUUUUCCUCAUGACCAUUUCUCUGUUUAAUUGCCUCAUUAAAGCCAAGUGUAUAUCAAUGAUCCUAUUAGAGGGUUCAAGAAAGAAAUGCACCCUUGGGUUAACCUGGCCAUGACCC